UACUGAAGGCCUAGCCUGGCCCGUCAAGGCCCAAGCUCGGACGUUUGACAGCGCUGUCCCUUUUCUCUCCGAUCCCACUCCGCCGGCCGCCUCGGAGCGUACCACCGUUGCCUCCUCGUCUUCCUCCUAUUUAUACCUCCUUCACUGCCAGCCGGUCUGGGUGGGAGUGGUCCGAAUCGCCCAAACUCGCUGCUAUAAGUCGAAAGCAGACCUCCUUCCCUCCCUCCUCCUGCUUUGAUCAUCAGAAGAUCACUAUAUCUCCAGAUCUGAGGCGGUUUGGAGUCGAUACCGGUCCGAAAGCAUUGUAGUCCAAGCAUAUAAAGGCUAUUAAGCUGACACAUAUUCGGAUGAUUUGGUGGACUUCAAGGAUGCAAGUGUUUGAUCUUCAUUAAAGAAGUAUUGAUGGUAUCCAAUAUAAAUUAAAGAAAACUUUUCCAUCGUCAAGGAGGAACAGCAUAAUUCUCAAAUGUUAUUGGCAAUCAGGAUGGAGAAGUUUCAGAGAGUUCCAAUUCUCUUGAAUGAAAAAUUCAGAAUACAUUUCUCAAACAGAGUUGUUUAAACAAGUACAUCAUAUAUCGCUAACAUUGGACUUCAUGGAUGCAUUAUAUAAGAAAUGGAGAAGAAGAUGCCUUUCAAGGAUUUCAGUCUAUCUGAUGUGUUUACUUGCCCCUAUUCUGUGCUUGCUUUGUUUAAUUAAUUCAGAACUCCCUGAGGUGUCACUCAGCAACAGUGUCAUGGGAUCACCCAGGAACUUGACAUUCACGAAGACAGUGGAGGGAGUAGGACUUGGGGAACUUGGGGACAUGAUGGUCGCAAUGUUGCCCGAUGAUCUUGCAUUUACCAUAUUUGUUCCGUCAGAGGAGGCCUUCGGGCGUUUGCUAAAACUGAGAUCCCAUGACAGCUUGAGCAAGGAUAGACUAAAUGAGACGUAUGCGGUCGUCUCUCGUGUAAUGGGGUUUUCUGCAGUUCCUCAACAUAUACCAUCUAAAGUAAUUCCUUUGCACAAGGAGAUGACAUUUGAAUCUGUAUCAGGAUUCAGAUUAUAUGCUUGGAAAGAUUUAGAUGGAACGCUGGUUGUGAACGGCAUUAGAUCAGAAGUUGUUGAUAUCAGAAAAGCUGAAAUCAUUGUGCAUAAAAUGGAUGGUGUGCUCAUGGAUGCUGAGUUUGAGCAGUCAUUCCCACCGGAUUAUGAGGACUGACAUUUCGUCGAAAUAUGUCCAAAUACCAUCUAGUACUUGAUAUGAUUAGUGUUUUUUCUGCUAUUUAAUGAUAUUCCAUUCAUUAUCAGCUCCUUGUAUUGGUAAAGAUUAUGUGAAUUAUCAGUCUGUCUUCUCCAAAGGGGAAGACACGAACCGACCUAAUUCACUCCAUGUUAAAGUCCUCUGCUAAGGACACCAAGUAUGCGGUUGUUGAUGAUGUGUUACCGUAUGGGACCGUGGUGCCGGCCAGUUCCACCGUGGCGUGCUCCAUCUACUUGGUGGGGAGAAUGGAGACGAUCUGGGGUAAAGACUACAGGGAGUUCCGGCCGAGAGGUGGCUGUCCUACUCUGGUAUUCCUCCACAAUCCUACUCUGUAAUUGUCCGUUCAUCUAUUUGUUUAGUCGCAUUUUGUUGGAUAUCGAACAGAAGUCUCUUCUUCCUUGGGAUCAUGUACCGAGAGAAAUGAUACUAUAUACUUCAGUUGUCAGCUUCAUCUAC